AAAAGAAACAAGAAAGGUGAAGUGGGCCCCACUUAUGGUCAGGAGGAUGAUGCUUCUUCAUCACUUCAAGAAAUAACUACAUUCUGUAUGACUUCCACACGGCUGAGACCUCCAGGAUAUGGUCAAAACUGUGCUGAUGUGUAACAGUUAUAGCCCUUCUAGAAUGCAAGUUUUCAAGGAAUCCUUCUGUCUUGUUCAUGCUGCCUCCCCAACAUCAAGCACACAGCCUGGCAUACAGCAAAUGCCCAAUAAAUUUUUGUGUGAGUGAA